rfam:Rheinheimera sp. A13L DRAFT__contig00006, whole genome shotgun sequence.
GCCGAGAUGGUGAAAUUGGUAUACACGCUACCUUGAGGUGGUAGUGCCUUCGGGCGUGCGGGUUCAAGUCCCGCUCUCGGCA